GGGGAAGUGCUGGAAUUGGCAGACAGGCAUGACUUAGGAUCAUGUGCCGCAAGGCGUGAGGGUUCGAUUCCCUCCUUCCCCA
rnacentral:tRNA from 1 species